GCAACCCUACACGUGCCGCGUCCCAGAACUUACAUGUACUCCUCAACCCCGACAUCAUUCGGUACAUCCACCUCGGACCUACGCGGUUUGACUGGGAGAGCGCGCGAGCCGUCUUCGAGAGAGAGAGAAGGAGAUUCUUGUUGAUGGGAAGGAAAGGUUGGGGUAAAGUGCAGCGCAGUAACUGUCUCUCAGCAUAGGACACCUCAACCGCUCUGCACAGGGGGUAGGGAAUCAGUGAGCCACCAUCGAACGCGGCGGCAAGGAGUUUUGGCAGGUGCCACCGACGCAGCCGUAUAUAUACGUGGGGAGCCUACACGAAAGCGCUGUUUGAGGGUGGUGACACCACCAAAAUUUUGACCGCUGUUCACCGCCAGAUUUGACGCCGAUCGGGACGCAGGACAACGAUCUACCCACCGUGGCUCCGAUGCUUCCCGGAACGGCACCCCUCCGACGCCUCAGCAUCCUCAUUGCAUCCUCAGCGACAACCACACGCUAAACCGGCCACGGCAUCCGCCAUUUGGGCGCGCCUGUUCGCGAAUAUCUCGGAGGCCACGAAGCGGCGCGCCCGGUUCCUUGCAACACCUCUAGAUGGCGCUCGCCUCCACCGCAUGGCGGCCCACCACAAGAGGCGGCGUUUCUACCAGAAAGCCCGCCUUCGUGCACAGCGUUCACCACCAGCGUUUCCCUGUACACAUUACGGUUACAUAAGCUGCAGUUGCCGGGAAGCGUGAGAAGCAGUCAUGGAUCUUCGAAUGCUGCCGCGUUCCACUCUUAAAGGCGAAGCCUAAGCAUCCCUCAAAUUUUUAUAGAUGGUUUCAAGAUUCAGAGGUUCAUUUAACGCAAAAAAUGAAAAAGAUCUAAUAUUUCGUGUCCGUACUUUUUGAGAAAACACCAUACAACACUAAAUGCGUGCACAUGUUAGGCGCAGGUUUUACAGUGGAAGGGUGCAAGUUGCCUAACCAAGGCACAUCUAGCUGUUUGUUUACCAACGAUGACUAAUCGACAAUGGAAAUAAGUGAGACAUAGUAUACAGACAACGAGAGGAAAUGCGUCAGCCAGCUCUCCUUAUCAGGGCAUGACGAAGAGAUGUCCUUCACACAAAUAAGAGAUAUAGCAGUCGAUGCUUUCUUUCUUCCUUAUUCUGAAAACCACUCAUAUUGCUUUUAUCACACUGAUAUAAGGCCAACGUAUGCCCUUUCUUUAUAAAACUUGUGCUCAAACAUGUACGCAUCCAGUUUUUUUUUACGUUGUUUUCUCUAAUUCUUACAAAUAAACGUUCGGUUGUAAGUCAG